rnacentral:tRNA from 1 species
GCCGGGGUGCCCGAGCGGUCUAAGGGGCCGGCCUUGAGAGCCGGUGCGGGAUAUCCGCACGCGGGUUCAAAUCCCGCCCCCGGCGCCA